UCACAAUUCUGACCGGUAAGCAUGUCCAUUAGUAAACGUCGAUGUCCUUACCUCUACCCAGGGUAUGAAUUGUCGAGCGCGAGAGACACCUAAGUUUACCCUACGUAAGUUUUUAAAUUUUUUAAAUUACCUAAAUCGACAUUAUCGACAUACUACGCGACAUACAUUUUACUGAAACGACAACAGAUGAUGCGACGGCGGUUGCGAUUAUCGGAGGAGUUCCCCAGUAGUUGUGGCGUUAUUGAGCAAUAGUAAAUAAUAUUUUAACAUUUUUCUGAAAAGUACUUUUACCUAUCCUGAAAAAAAACCGUGAUGUACAGUCUACACUAUUACGGGGUCAAAUUAAUUUGAAAUAGAUUAUACAGCUCCUGCAGGAGUUAAAGGUCAAGAAGCCGCUUUCCAUUUUCCUGAAGUAACAGCGGUUUCAACGAAAGUGGCAGAACUUCUUCUGGUAGAGGAAUAGAAGCAGACGGAAUUGCCCCAUUAAAAGAUGAAAAAGUACUGCAUCCAGUGAAAACAUAUGACGGGAAAAGAAGAAUUGUUUCAACUGCAGAAAGUACACU